rnacentral:tRNA from 1 species
GCGCCCUUAGCUCAGCCGGAUAGAGCGUGUGACUACGAAUCACAAGGUCGGGGGUUCGAAUCCCUCAGGGCGCGCCA